GAAAGGUCACCAAAACCGGGGCAGAAAAUCUUCUGCCAUUGUCAAAAAAUUUCUCGGAGGAACGAGGAAACAAAUUCAAAUAUGUCUUAGUUUAAAUAGGCGCCCACCUGUAUAACGAGACGAAUAUUUUCAGUCUUAGUUUAAAUAGGCGCCCACCUGUAUAACGAGAGGAAUAAUUUUCAGUCUUAGUUUAAAUAGGCGCCCACCUGUAUAACGAGAGGAAUACUUUUCAGUCUUAGUUUAAAUAGGCGCCCACCUGUAUAACGAGAGAAAUAAUUUUCAAUCUUAGUUUAAAUAG
rnacentral:lncRNA from 1 species